rnacentral:rRNA from 1 species
UACGGGGGGAGCAAGCGUUGUUCGGAUUUACUGGGCGUAAAGGGCGCGUAGGCGGCCAGCACAAGUCAGUUGUGAAAUCUCCGAGCUUAACUCGGAAAGGUCAACUGAUACUGUGCGGCUAGAGUGCGGAAGGGGCAACUGGAAUUCUUGGUGUAGCGGUGAAAUGCGUAGAUAUCAAGAGGAACACCGGUGGCGAAGGCGGAUCUCUGGGCCAUUACUGACGCUGAGGAGCGAAAGCGUGGGGAGCGAACAGG